CCGGCCGCGGUCCAAGCCGGAUGCACUCUCCGCCAGUGGCUCUGCCGCCGCCGUCACCUCCACCUGCCGCCGCCUUCUAACGCUGUCCGAGCGCUGUGACUGUGUGCACCUACAUCUUGCGAGGCCAACCAGCUCUCUGACCGAACACGCUGAGCUAGCGUGCCGGCGCUAGAGGCGUGCUACCAUAAUAACCGUAACUAUAGAAGGGAACUUAAAAAUUCUGGUUUCGAGCUGUUAUAGCCCCAUCUUGAGGUGAACAAGACCGAUGAGGCGCGUGGCCGCCGCCCAUUGUACACCAGGCUGCAGGCAGAUGACAGCCGCACAUGAAUUGUGACUG